CACGUAGGGGGCAAGCGUUGUCCGGAUUUAUUGGGCGUAAAGAGCUCGUAGGCUGUUCGAUAAGUCGGGUGUGAAACCUCCAGGCUCAACCUGGAGACGCCACCCGAUACUGUCAUGACUAGAGUCCGGUAGGGGAGCGUGGAAUUCCUGGUGUAGCGGUGAAAUGCGCAGAUAUCAGGAAGAACACCCGUGGCUAAGGCGGUUCUCUAGUACGGUACUGACGCUGAGACGCGAAAGCGUGGGGAGCGAACAGG
rnacentral:rRNA from 1 species